rnacentral:rRNA from 1 species
AAUUCGCCCUUCGGGGUGCCCAGGCGCGAAAACUUUACAAUGCCGGCAACGGCGAUAAGGGAACCUCGAGUGCCAGGUUACAAAUCUGGCUGUCGUGAUGCCUAAAAAGCAUUGCAUAGCAAGGGCCGGGCAAGACCGGUGCCAGCCGCCGCGGUAACACCGGCGGCUCGAGUGGUAACCGUUAUUAUUGGGUCUAAAGGGUCUGUAGCCGGCCGGGCAAGUCUCUUGGGAAAUCUGGCAGCUUAACUGUCAGGCUUUCAGGAGAUACUGCCUGGCUCGAGGCCGGGAGAGGUGAGAGGUACUUCAGGGGUAGGGGUGAAAUCUUGUAAUCCUUGAAGGACCACCAGUGGCGAAGGCGUCUCACCAGGACGGACCUGACGGCAAGGGACGAAAGCUAGGGGCACGAACCGGAUUAGAUACCCGGGUAGUCCUAGCCGUAAACGAUACUCGCUAGGUGUCGGCCACGGUGCGACCGUGGUCGGUGCCGUAGGGAAGCCGUGAAGCGAGCCACCUGGGAAGUACGGCCGCAAGGCUGAAACUUAAAGGAAUUGGCGGGGGAGCAC